rnacentral:rRNA from 1 species
AGCGAACGCUGGCGGCAGGCUUAACACAUGCAAGUCGAACGCACCUUCGGGUGAGUGGCAGACGGGUGAGUAACACGUGGGAACGUACCCUUCGGUUCGGAAUAACUCAGGGAAACUUGAGCUAAUACCGGAUACGCCCUUACGGGGAAAGAUUUAUUGCCGAUGGAUCGGCCCGCGUCUGAUUAGCUAGUUGGUGAGGUAAUGGCUCACCAAGGCGACGAUCAGUAGCUGGUCUGAGAGGAUGAUCAGCCACACUGGGACUGAGACACGGCCCAGACUCCUACGGGAGGCAGCAGUGGGGAAUAUUGGACAAUGGGCGAAAGCCUGAUCCAGCCAUGCCGCGUGAGUGAUGAAGGCCCUAGGGUUGUAAAGCUCUUUCGGCGGGGACGAUAAUGACGGUACCCGCAGAAGAAGCCCCGGCUAACUUCGUGCCAGCCGCCGCGGUAAAAC